rnacentral:rRNA from 1 species
CCUACGGGAGGCAGCAGUGGGGGAUAUUGCACAAUGGGGGGAACCCUGAUGCAGCGACGCCGCGUGGGUGAAGAAGCGCCUCGGCGCGUAAAGCCCUGUCAGCAGGGAAGAAAAUGACGGUACCUGAAGAAGAAGCCCCGGCUAACUACGUGCCAGCAGCCGCGGUAAUACGUAGGGGGCAAGCGUGAUCCGGAUUUACUGGGUGUAAAGGGGGCGCAGACGGCGAUGCAAGCCAGGCGUGAAAGCCCGGGGCCCAACCCCGGGACUGCGCUUGGAACUGCGUGGCUGGAGGGCAGGCGGGGCAGGGGGAAGUCCUGGUGUAGCGGUGAAAUGCGUAGAUAUCAGGAGGAACACCGGUGGCGAAGGCGGCCUGCUGGACUGCAACUGACGUUGAGGCCCGAAAGCGUGGGGAGCAAACAGGAUUAGAUACCCUAGUAGUC